rnacentral:rRNA from 1 species
UACAGAGGGGGCAAGCGUUAUUCGGAAUUAUUGGGCGUAAAGGGCGCGUAGGCGGCGAUUCAAGUGACGGGUGAAAUCCCUCGGCUUAACCGAGGAACUGCCUGUCAGACUGGGUUGCUUGAGACCGGGAGAGGCGAGUGGAAUUCCCAGUGUAGCGGUGAAAUGCGUAGAUAUUGGGAGGAACACCAGUGGCGAAGGCGGCUCGCUGGACCGGAACUGACGCUGAGGCGCGAAAGCGUGGGGAGCAAACGGG